AACGAACGCUGGCGGCAUGCCUAACACAUGCAAGUCGAACGAGACCUUCCAGUCUAUUGGCGCACGGGUGCGUAACGCGUGGCAACCUGCCCUUAGGUUCGGAAUAACUCCCCGAAAGGGGUGCUAAUACCGGAUAAUGUCUUCGGACCAAAGAUGUAUCGCCUUUGGAUGGGCCCGCGUUGGAUUAGCUAGUUGGUAGGGUAAAAGCCUACCAAGGCGACGAUCCAUAGCUGGUCUGAGAGGAUGAUCAGCCACACUGGGACUGAGACACGGCGCAGACUGCUACGGGAGGCAGCAGUGGGGAAUAUUGGACAAUGGGCGAAAGGCUGAUACAGCAAUGCCGCGUGAGUGAUGAAGGCCUUAGGGUUGUAAAGCUCUUUUACACGGGAGGAUAAUGACAGUACCGGGAGAAUAAGCUCCGGCUAACUCCGUG
rnacentral:rRNA from 1 species